rnacentral:rRNA from 1 species
UACGAAGGGGGCUAGCGUUGCUCGGAAUCACUGGGCGUAAAGCGCACGUAGGCGGCUUUCUAAGUCAGGGGUGAAAUCCUGGAGCUCAACUCCAGAACUGCCUUUGAUACUGGGGAGCUUGAGUCCGGGAGAGGUGAGUGGAACUCCGAGUGUAGAGGUGAAAUUCGUAGAUAUUCGGAAGAACACCAGUGGCGAAGGCGGCUCACUGGCCCGGUACUGACGCUGAGGUGCGAAAGCGUGGGGAGCAAACAGG